rnacentral:rRNA from 1 species
CGCAUUAAGCAUUCCGCCUGGGGAGUACGGCCGCAAGGCUGAAACUCAAAGGAAUUGACGGGGGCCCGCACAAGCGGUGGAGCAUGUGGUUUAAUUCGAAGCUACGCGAAGAACCUUACCAGGUCUUGACAUACUAUGCAAAUCUAAGAGAUUAGACGUUCCCUUCGGGGACAUGGAUACAGGUGGUGCAUGGUUGUCGUCAGCUCGUGUCGUGAGAUGUUGGGUUAAGUCCCGCAACGAGCGCAACCCUUAUUAUCAGUUGCCAGCAUUAAGUUGGGCACUCUGGUGAGACUGCCGGUGACAAACCGGAGGAAGGUGGGGAUGACGUCAAAUCAUCAUGCCCCUUAUGACCUGGGCUACACACGUGCUACAAUGGAUGGUACAACGAGUUGCGAACUCGCGAGAGUAAGCUAAUCUCUUAAAGCCAUUCUCAGUUCGGAUUGUAGGCUGCAACUCGCCUACAUGAAGUCGGAAUCGCUAGUAAUCGCGGAUCAGCAUGCCGCGGUGAAUACGUUCCCGGGCCUUGUACACACCGCCCGUCACACCAUGAGAGUUUGUAACACCCAAAGUCGGUGGGGUAACCUUUUAGGAACCAGCCGCCUAAGGUGGGACAGAUGAUUAGGGUGAAGUCGUAACAA